rnacentral:rRNA from 1 species
UCGCGGCGGUGAGCGCAGAAGGGUCUGGGCUCGAGCCUGCCUGGAGCCGCCGCCGGUGCAGAUCUUGGUGGUAGUAGCAAAUACUCCAGCGAGGCCCUGGAGGACUGAUGUGGAGAAGGGUUUCGUGUGAACAGCCGUUGCACACGAGUCAGUCGAUCCUAAGCCCUAGGAGAAAUCCGAUGCCAACGGCGAUGGGAAAUCAAACGAAACGAAAGCGGCCCAUUGAUCGGGCGAAAGGGAAUCCGGUUCCUAUUCCGGAACCCGGCAGCGGAACCGUUGUUUGUCGGGCCCUCACAAGGGGUUCGUCAGGGUAACCUAAAAGGGCCCGGAGACGCCGUCGGGAGCCCCGGAAAGAGUUUUCUUUUCUGCAUGAGCGUUCGAGUUCCCUGGAAUCCUCUCGCAGGGAGAUAGGGUUUGGAACGCGAAGAGCACCGCAGUUGCGGCGGUGCCCGGGAAUUCCCGACGGACCUUGAAAAUCCGGGAGAGGGCCACGUGGAGGUGUCGCGCCGGCUCGUACCCAUAUCCGCAGCAGGUCUCCAAGGUGAAGAGCCUCUAGUCGAUAGAAUAAUGUAGGUAAGGGAAGUCGGCAAAUCGGAUCCGUAACUUCGGG